rnacentral:lncRNA from 1 species
CAGAGGCGCACCCAGGAGCACGGGAUGCACGGGCUUUCCUGGGGUCCUUCCUGAGCUCGCUGCUAAAGCAGGCCACCUCCUUGCUGUGGAGAGAGCUAGCCCAAGGAAAGGGCACGGGGGCUGGCGAGGACCAUGCCUGAGGUGGCCUUUCUCAAAUGGGUUGGCACAGAAGCCAGCGAGGCACCCGUCGGCACAGAGUGACGCGGGGGGUUCGUCCCCGUGUUCUGCUUUGUGAGGUGAAGGGGUCAGAGCUAAGAGUGAGAAAGCUCCCAUCCGGGUCCCGCCGUCUCCGGGCGGCCGCCGAUCACCGGGACUGGACGCAGAGCUCGGAGACGCCCAGGGCGAGACUGCAGCGGAGAGGGAAGAGAGAGCCGCGGCCCUUGAGGAUUAGGUAGUGGUUGCCGAGGCCGAGUGAGCACCCUUCAAAGCAACCAAGGAAGAGGAGGCCUGGGUCCCUCUUCUGCCUCGCUGACCCAGGUCACGGGGAGGGGACAACUGUGGAAACGGAACCGGAACAGGAAAUGAGCAGGACCAUUGAUAACGUGGGGAGUGGUCGGCAAGGAAACGGCACGCGCGGGAUCCCGAGCAACAGCAGACCCAGACCGGCACCUGUCGCUUCCGGGCCCCCUCCGGCCUGUCAGGUGGUGCUCUGCGGGCUACGUGCCGAGCAAUGGCCCAGAGGCCAGUUAAAGCCCUGAGAGGCUGUUUUAAAGACGGAUGGGGACAUAGCUCACAUUUCCCACUUUGUCCUAGCCCCCACUUUGAAUGUGUCUGCUCUUCGACUUCUGACUUUUACGAGUUUCGGGAUUUGUUACUUUUUCGCGGCACUCCACUGGUAGAACACUCAUUCAGAGGAAGUGUGUGUGCACUUGCUUUCUCCGGGGUGUGAAAGGGGUAUGCAGAGCUGCCCCUGACUGAAACAGGAUGCGUUUAAGCCCUGCCGUUCAUGCCGGUGCUUUCCAAUAGCUAGAACUCGGCAGCCUCCCCAGGACAGAGAUUCUCCCACACUCUAUCCAUAAACUGUGCCUUUAAAAAACAUAUGCUAAGAAGAAGGGAAAGGAGAAAAAAGAGGGCCUCCACUUUUAACUUGGGCUCUUUUAUUUAUACUAUUUCUAAGACAAGGCAAAUUAUCAUAAUCUUCCUUACAGACACACAGUUCCACCUAAGAAUUACCAUUUACCUCAGCUAGGGGAGAGCACAGUUUCUAUUAGAUGCUGAGAUAAAUCAUUUGUAUGUGCUCCUCUGUGCUCCCUGGCAACUCUUUGUGAAUUUCAAGCUUAAAAAUAAUUCCUGGGCUCAGGUCCGUGCCAGUAUUCUAAUGUGGAUUAUUUGUACUGCUCUGCUGGUGCCAGUUCUUUUGAUGUAAUCAUUAUCCCUUACGGGCUGGCACUAGUCCAGUCACCAACUGAUGAAACGAGCCACCAUCCCACCUGAGAAUAUCGAUGAUGUUUUGAAAGCAGGCACUUUGAUUCAUGUAGAAACUCCGUCUAUGUAUCCCGGUGUUUUCAUAAAGACUCUCUUAUUUACUCUAAACAGGGUUAUGCCUUUUGCUGUGGGGCCUUGUGGCAACUGUUUAACCAUUUCAGAUAUUUUUUAGAAAUCUGAAGAAGAGAAAAUUCAGCCUCAAGAAUACAUCUCUCUGUUCUUCACAAAAUCAGGUCCUCUCUUGCUGAAAUGAGGCAAAGCCCCCAAGUUGAGUUUAACUGGCUAAGUGCCGUGCUCUGUCUGAGGCAGCAAAGCAAAGCACUCUCUGCAGGCCGAAUGCGCAUCCCUGACUUUUCCUCCCCACCUGUCUGGGCAGACAUCAGAGCAGAACCAAGCUCCUCCUGCGUCCACAGUCAGCAGGGCUGCUGCAGGAGGAGCAGGAUGCACACCCAGCCCCUCCACAGCUCCUCACUGUGGGGCGCCUGGGCCCAACGUCCCCGCGAGUCCAGGGGACACAGAGAGGUCAAGUGAGCCCGCGUUCAGCCUCCACC